GAUGAACGCUAGCGGCGUGCCUAUCACAUGCAAGUCGAACGGGGUGAUUCACUUCGGUGGAUCACUUAGUGGCGAACGGGUGAGUAACGCGUAUCCAACUUUCCCGUUACUCUCGGAUAGCCUUCCGAAAGGGAGAUUAAUACGUGAUGGUGUUCUAAUUCCGCAUGUUAUUAGAACUAAAGAUUCAUCGGUAACGGAUAGGGAUGCGUGACAUUAGAUAGUUGGCGGGGUAACGGCCCACCAAGUCCACGAUGUCUAGGGGUUCUGAGAGGAAGGUCCCCCACACUGGAACUGAGACACGGUCCAGACUCCUACGGGAGGCAGCAGUGAGGAAUAUUGGUCAAUGGCCGAGAGGCUGAACCAGCCAAGUAGCGUGAAGGAUGACUGCCCUACGGGUUGUAAACUUCUUUUAUACGGGAAUAAAGCCCGCUACGUGUAGCGGUUUGUAUGUACCGUAUGAAUAAGCAUCGGCUAACUCCGUG
rnacentral:rRNA from 1 species